rnacentral:SRP_RNA from 1 species
CCGAACUCCCCCAGGGCAGGAAUGCAGCAAGGGUAGGAGAGCUCUUCCAGGUACGCGGGGUGUCCCUUGCCC